rnacentral:rRNA from 1 species
AGUGAACGCUGGCGGUAGGCCUAACACAUGCAAGUCAAACGGCAGCACAGGAGAGCUUGCUCUCUGGGUGGCGAGUGGCGGACGGGUGAGGAAUACAUCGGAAUCUACUCUGUCGUGGGGGAUAACGUAGGGAAACUUACGCUAAUACCGCAUACGACCUACGGGUGAAAGCAGGGGACCUUCGGGCCUUGCGCGAUUGAAUGAGCCGAUGUCGGAUUAGCUAGUUGGCGGGGAAAAGGCCCACCAAGGCGACGAUCCGUAGCUGGUCUGAGAGGAUGCUCAGCCACACUGGAACUGAGACACGGUCCAGACUCCUACGGGAGGCAGCAGUGGGGAAUAUUGGACAAUGGGCGCAAGCCUGAUCCAGCCAUACCGCGUGGGUGAAGAAGGCCUUCGGGUUGUAAAGCCCUUUUGUUGGGAAAGAAAUCCAGCUGGCUAAUACCCGGUUGGGAUGACGGUACCCAAAGAAUAAGCACCGGCUAACUUCGUGCCAGCCGCCGCGGUAA